rnacentral:lncRNA from 1 species
AGUGUGUCUGAGUCCAUAGAGUGUUAGCUACAGAAACCUUUCCAUUGCCAUUCUGAGCAAGUGCAGCAGGCAGUGUGCCUACAGCUCUGCAAAGAAACUUCAGAUAGCAGAUUCUGUCAACCACAUUUCAUAAAGAGUUCUGAUUCUAAGAGAGCCAUACACCUGAAGGAGGGAUGGAAAGACUAGGAGAGCCUGGGAUCCUCAGAGAUGGAGAUCUGGAUGUGAAGAGAAAGAGAAAAACAAAAGUCAACAGACAGUACUGUGACCAAGUCAGUGAUGGUGAGAUCAGCAGCAUCUCUAGGACCCUUCUGAUUGACAUGAAGUCACCAUCAAGUAGGCAGAACUCACAGGACUUAUGGAGCAAGGAUGACUGACACAAACACAAAAAUCAUUCUGCCUGUUGAAUGAAUCAUAAAAUACUGUCUUUGAUCCAGGAGGCUUGUGUCAUCUGCCAGCAUUUAUGAAACUGUGCUCCAAGUAGGAAUCUGGAGAAAAAAAGCUAUGAAGAGCAAGAGGUGGUAGAGAAUGGUGUUGUUGAAAUUGCCUGACAUCACUGGAGAUAAUUUGCCCUGGAAAGAAGCACUCCUUAGGGAGGAGCAUCUGCACAUUCCAUUAGCAUAAAGCACCUGGUCAGCCAUAUGAAGAAGUCUGGAUUUUGUUUUAAAUGUGAAAUUUAUUUUAAAUGGAGGAUUUGAAACAAGGGAGUAAUAUAACCUGACAUAUUUUAAAAAAUCACUCUGGCAGCUGCGUGGGGGACAAACUCUGGGAGGACAAGAGGAGAUGUGGAAGGGAGAAGGCGGCUAAGAGUCUGUCCCAGGAUUGCAAAGAUUUCGGAGCCCGGCCUCAGGUGGUAAUGGUGGAGGUGUUAGAAAUGGCUGGAUUCCACAUAUAUUUUGAAAGGCCAGCACAUGGAAUUUGCUUAUGGAUGUUCCAUAAAUAAGAGAAAAAGAGGGCUCAGUGAUGAUUCCUGGGCUUUUGACUUAAGCAACUAGAAGGAUAAAGUCUCCAUUAACUGAUAUGGGGAAGACUGAGGAAGGAGACGCUGUGUAUGCCAGGAUUGGGCUGUGUGUGUGUGUGUAUGU